rnacentral:rRNA from 1 species
GAUGAACGCUGACAGAAUGCUUAACACAUGCAAGUCUUUGGCGAAGCUGUGCUUGCACAGCCUAGCCAAGGCGGACGGGUGAGUAACGCGUAAGGAACUUGCCCUGCAGUCAGGGAUAACAGACGGAAACGACUGAUAAGACCUGGUAAAGUCAGGCGGACUCAUGUCCAGCCUGAUGAAAAGAGAUGCUGCAGGAGAGCCUUGCGUCCUAUUAGCUUGUUGGUGGGGUAACGGCCCACCAAGGCGAUGAUAGGUAGCCGGCCUGAGAGGGUGGACGGCCACAAGGGGACUGAGAUACGGCCCUUACUCCUACGGGAGGCAGCAGUGGGGAAUAUUGGGCAAUGGGGGCAACCCUGAUCCAGCAAUUCUGUGUGCACGAUGAAGGUUUUCGGAUUGUAAAGUGCUUUCAGCAGGGAAGAAAAAAAUGACGGUACCUGCAGAAGAAGCGACGGCUAAAUACGUG